rnacentral:rRNA from 1 species
GCAAGUCGAACGGGAACAUUUCUAGCUUGCUAGGAGAUGACGAGUGGCGGACGGGUGAGUAAUGCUUAGGAAUAUGCCUUUGGGCGGGGGAUAACUAUUGGAAACGAUAGCUAAUACCGCAUAACGUCUACGGACCACAGGGGGGACUUGUUCCUCUCGCCCAAAGAGUAGCCUAAGUGAGAUUAGCUAGUUGGUGAGGUAAAGGCUCACCAAGGCGACGAUCUCUAGCUGGUCUGAGAGGAAGAUC